AGGGAGCGGAGCGGCGGGACCGAGCGAGGAGCGGCUGAGCAUGGCGGACGGCGGAGGACACGGAGCGGCUGAGUGUGGCGGGCGGAGCGGGCGGCGGCCGACCUCACCCUCGUGCCUCUUCCGGCGGUCAUGGCGGCGGCGGCGGGUGGAGAAAGAGGAGUUGCAGAGGCGGCAGGAGAGAGGAGCGGCAGCCGGCGGGAAAGAGGAGCGGUGGCCGACGGGCGAGAGGAGCGCCGCGCGGCCGGCCUCCCUUCCUCUCCCAGUCUCCGUCUGUCGGCCGCCGCCCACCACGCUCAGCCGCUCCGCGCCCUCCGUCGUCCGCCAUGCUCAGCUGCUCGGUCCCGCCGCUCCGUGCCCUCCGCCUAAGCCUGCUAAUGGGCUAAAAUCCACCCCCACAACCAACCCAAUCCACCUCUUGUGAAAGCACUCUAACAAACCAGCCCGCUCCAUAUCCAAACCAAUCCAACCCACAGGAGAUUUAAAACCAAUCCAACCCAACCCAUUGUAGCCAAGUGGGUUGAAUCCAUUUGAAACCCAUGGAAUCUAGCAUGGACUCAUUGCAGGAAGCAGGCAGCUGCGUCGCCGACUUCUGAGGAGCAGGGCCGUUGCUUGCCGAUCUCAAUUCCGAAGAACGAGAAUGCUGACGAUGAUGGAACAGAGUUGUCAUGCCUCAUCUGUUUGAUAGGCUCGCCUCACAACAAUAUAGGCUUCCACUGAAGCCCUAGAAGACCAAGAUAUAUUAGCUCUUCAAUCCUUCAUGCCUGCCUUUCUGAAGAUUUCAGCAGAAAGAGAAAAAGCUGAUCACUUUCGUGAGAUUUUUAGAUACAUGGAUACUUGAAAUCAAAACUCCCCUGCAGUUCAUCUGCUCAUGGCUACUGAUCUGAUGAUCUCUUGUGCUCUUCUUCCUCUUAAAAUUGAUGCAGGCUGCUUGAUUUAUUACUA